rnacentral:rRNA from 1 species
UACUGUGGCAAUUCUAGAGCUAAUACAUGCAAUAAAGCUCCGCCCGCAAGGAACGAGCGCAUUUAUUAGAAUAAAAACCAAUCGAGUUUCGGCUCGUAAUUUGGUGAAUCUGAAUAACUUUGCCAAUCGCACAGUCCUAGUACUGGCGAUGUAUCUUUCAAGUGUCUGCCUUAUCAACUUUCGAUGGUACGCUAUACGCCUACCAUGGUAGUAACGGGUAACGGAGAAUAAGGGUUCGACUCCGGAGAGGGAGCCUGAGAAACGGCUACCACAUCCAAGGAAGGCAGCAGGCGCGCAAAUUACCCACUUCCAGAACGGAGAGGUAGUGACGAAAAAUAACGAGACAGUCCUCUUCGAGGUCUGCCAUCGGAAUGGGUACAAUUUAAAUCCUUUAACGAGGAUCUAUUGGAGGGCAAGUCUGGUGCCAGCAGCCGCGGUAAUUCCAGCUCCAAUAGCGUAUAUUAAAGUUGUUGCGGUUAAAACGCUCGUAGUUGGAUCUGCGACCUCGAAGAACGGUCCCCCGAAAGGGUGGUCACUGUCUCUUCUAGUCUAAAUUCAAGUUGUCUUUAGGUGCUCUUUAUUGAGUGCUUAGAGCGACUAGAACGUUUACUUUGAAAAAAUUAGAGUGCUUAAAGCAGACGAAAUAGUCUGAAUAAGGUGCAUGGAAUAAUGGAAUAGGAUCUCGGUUCUAUUUUGUUGGUUUUCGGAGCCCGAGAUAAUGAUUUAGAAGAACAGACGGGGGCAUUCGUAUUUCGGCGCUAGAG